AAACCCUGAACCAUAUCCAUAUAUAUCUUAGUUGUUUAUACUGCACGGUUUACCAGACAGACACCUGCUGGCCGCUAAAGAAGAAAGGAAGUAAAACAGAACGAAACAUGGGGCUUAUGAACUAAGCAACAAGAAGGAUCGAGUUAUUGUUGAUGGAUUUUCUGUAGGGAUUGCUGAUAAUAUCAGACUGUAGCUACUACGACCUCGUUUGGCCUGUUCUAUGCAUCCAUGCAGAUGAUGAAUUGAAAGCUAUCUCUUUGUAGCAUGUACUCAAAGGCCUUGUUGAUCUCUGAGAAUGGGAUUUCAUGGGUUAUGAAUUUCUCCAAUUCAAGUUCCUCCAAAGCAAGAAAAAAAAGGGUUAAAUAUUACUACAAUGCAGGUGAAAGUAAUACAAAUAGUGAUUGGUUGAUCUGAAAUACAAUGACCAUUCGCCUGGUUCAUGUGUUUUUCGACAACAGAGGGUAUGUCAGAGUGGGGCUUGUAGUUUCCAAAGAAGGUGCCGUUGUGAAUUUUCUCAAUAUUCAAAAAUGUUCAUUGGACGGGAAUACAGUGAUCCAGGUUGUCUGUGCCCUUAGUUGUGGGAUCCAUACAGGUUGGAGGGGUUUUAAAAAUCAUUGGUAUCGAUCUGAAACCAGGUGAUUCAAUGAAGGUGUUCGCUGGAAUAACAAGCAGAAGAGAUGACGGGAGCAAUAUGGAGUAUACUGGCAACAUCAAUGCCAUGACAACAGUGUUCUGAUGCAUUCCAAUGGUUGGUUGGGGCGUUGCACUACUUGUAGCCGUGGGCGUGCCAAGCAAAGAUAGUCGAUUCAAUAGCCACCCAAUGAACAUUUUGAAUGAGAGAACUCUCAAAGACACCUUCUUUGGAAACUACAAGCUCCACUCUGGCAUAUCCUCUGUUGUUGAAAAAUACAUGAACCAGUUGAAUAGUCAUUGUAUUUCAGAUCAAGUAUUACUCCAACCUGCCUUGUAGUAAUAUUUGACCCUUGAAUUGGAGAAGUUGAUAAUCCAUGAAGUCUCAUUCUCAGAGAUCAACAAGGUUUUUGAGUACCUGCUACAAGGAGAUAGCCUUCGAAGCGUCAUUCGCAAGGGCGCAUAGAACAGGCCAAACGAGGUUGCAGUAGCUCUAGACAACGUAGUUUCCUAAGCAGUUGAGUACCAUUCUUGAGAGCUUGUUGUGGACUGAAGUUUCAGUUGUAGGAUAUAGGAAUGCCCUGGUUUACUUUUGAUUUGAGGCUAAUGGAGUAUGGUAGUUCUUCUUUAGUACAACAACUGUGCAAGACUUCGAUUCGGCAAGAAAUUUUAUCAUUUACAGCGGUUGAAUAGUUUAGACCAUAAAAAAAAAAAAUUAGAGAGAUGUAUUAACAGAGAUGCUUGAAAUCGGUUCUGUUUUUUCAACAAGCGUUAAAAGAAAAUCUGACCA